UGAAAACAAAGUUUUGGUGCUUCCCAGCACAUCCCACAAUCUUUUGGCCAUGUUGCAUGGCCUCCAAAGGUUGCUGCUGGGUAGCUUACCUGCCACCAUUCCAAUUCAGUGCACAUUUCAGUGCCCAUGGAAUAUAAUGUGAAGGGCACCCCUUGGAGAUGAACAGAACACAUUCCACACAACCACACAUGGUAGCCCUGAUUACAGAUGAAGAACAGAGGUUCAGCAGGAAAAUGAUUUGAAAGGUCACACAGACUAGGUCUUCAGACUCCAGAGGCAAAGCACGGCUGCCUGAUGGCGCAGCUGCCUCUCGGCUCACCCCUAAGACAGCACAAGGCCAGUGGGGAGGCAGCACUCAGCACUCCAACUGUGAGCUGUUAUCUGUGCAGCACCCUUGUGGCCAGGAGACAUCAGGGGCCUUUGUUGGUCCAGCCUUAUGCAGCCCUGGGCUCCUGUGAGUGAAUUCGUCCUGCAGGUGAGAGAUCAGCGUGUAAGGAAGGUUUAGUGACAUCUAUGGACUUUGUCUCACCAACAACAUUCCUCCUUUUGGUAACAGGACCCCGAGUUUGCUUUGGAGACCUACUCACUCCCAUUGGAUACAAUCUUUGUGGGACUGUCCAUAAAAAUGUUUUACCUUCCCUGGCCAGAAAGUGGACACAUGACUCUGUGCAUCUAUGGUAGCAGGCACUGAGUCCUACCCACGACCCCUUACCAUUCACUUUUCCUGUGCAUACCUGCAGUUUCUAUCUGCAACCCCAGCAAUCCUUUGCUGGAGACUUUCUCUAGAAGCCCAGAGACAAGAAAGGAGGAGGUCAAUAGUGCUGGGAUUGAGGCCCAGUUUCCCCCAAUGGUACCCUCAGUAAUGCAAGCUUUAUCAAUCCCUUUCCCUUCCCUGCCUUGCUUAUUCCCACUCUCCUGCAAGUGAUUCCUGGGAUCACCUCCCAAAAAACUACUUGGAAUCUAAUAUCCUUUUCUCAGGGUCUUCUCUUGGGUGAGUCCAACCUAAGAUAACCUCACACCCUUAUGGAAAAUUCUUAUUCUGCUUAAGUUGGCAAAAAUCUGCUUCUGUUUCUUGCAACCCAAGGACUCUAUCAGAAUUAAUAGCAGUCUGGAGUUAUGUCAUAUUGCACCUGGCUGUGAUAACCUCUGAUCUUUCUAAAGACCCUCAGAGCUCUGGAAGGGAAAUGACAGGCUUUGUUCUAAGCUAUUUAGUAUGUAUGCUCAGAGGAGUUGGGACACUAGCUAUGCUGAUAAAUGGAAAUGUUUGGAUGGUACAUGACCCCAGAACACAGGUCUCUUGUGCAGUCCCACUCCUGGUGUGAGGACCAGUAUGAUGAUUCCUCCUAGUUGGAGGUGAUUGAGGCAGGAGUCCAUGCACCAGAAGAGAGGACAGGUACUGAAGCUGCUGCUUAUGAGUCCAGCAGAUGGUCUUGGGGUAGCUUUUGCAGAUAAAGCACCACAUUUAGGUCUUGGGGGAGAUGCUAGGUUUUGGGGUGCCCAGCCAGGUUGACCAAGAACUAGUAGAAAAUGUGUUCUUUGGAAUAGAGUGUCACCUGUGUUCCCACCUAUAUAGACACAGCAUAGGAUGUAACUGGCUAGACCCACUGGGCCCACUGGAGCCCAGCCGGCCCUCAAUGCGUCCUAAAGCCCUUGAUCCAACUGACUGAGAAUCUAGAGCUGAGCUCCUUCCUGUCCUGAGGUUUCAUUCAUUGCCAAGUAAAUUCACAUAGUCAACACACAUAUGGCAGGCCCUGUGCAGGAAUGGCCACUGGGGAUAAGAAGUGAAUCAGAUGUCCCCUGUCCCUCUCUAAGGAAGAAUGGGAGAUAGACACAUGACCAAGAUAAGGUCAUUGACCAUUACAGGUGCUGCUGGAAUAGAUGUCUGUGGAGAUGUGGGACCCAGACUGGGGUGGGCCAAGAGCCUGGGAACAGAGCCCAAGGGAGGGGAUAGAGGGACAUGCCAGGCUGAGGGAGCAGCAUGAGAAAAGGCUUAGAGGUAUGAAAGAUUGCGGGUGAUUCUGUCUGAUGGAGUGAAGGCUUAAAUGGUCAGAGUGGAAGUUAGAGAGGCCAACAAAGGACCAGUCAUAGAGGAACUUGUAUGUCAUACCAAAGAGUUUGGUUUUCAUCCUCAGGUCAAUAGUGAUUGAAUAAUUUUAAUUGAAUGAUCAAUCAUAAUUGAAUAUUAUUACACAGAGGGAUGAUGUGGUCAUUUUUGCAUUUCAGAAAGAUUACUCUGAAAGCAGAAUGGUGGAUGAAUUGGAGGAGGUGAGACUGGAGGCACGGAGACAACAUAAAUAACAAAGAAGUGCCAGUGUCAGCAGGAAAGCUCACUUUCUCAAGAAUGCCCAUCUGUGAGCACAUGGUGGAGUCUCCAGAUUGUUCUCAGACAUCCAACCUGGUAUGUGGCACUGACGGGGUCACGUAUGAGAGUGAAUGCCAGCUCUGCUUGACUCGGCUGUAAGUCUACCCACCGACCUCGGCUUGCUUGGAUGGGCCCUAUCUCUGGUGCAGGCUGAAAGAACAAGAUUUGACCUGGUUCUUCCUUCACACAUGCUUGGCCUGAGGAGUCCUCUGACAUUUACCUCUCACAGAAUGAACACAAGUAUAAUUCAGAGAAAAGCUAGAAGCUGGUGGCAGGCAGGGAGGACUAAUAGAAACUCUGGGUUUUCUUAUUCUGCCCUUAAUUGGCUAGGUAACCUCAUUUGUUCUUUCAUUUCUCCAAUCAGCAAUUAUUUAUUGAGCACUUACUAUGUGCUAAGCCCUGGGAUAGAAUAGAGCAUAUACUAAGUUAGACAGCAUCAUAGGCCUCCUGGGACACGCAGUCCAAGGGGAAGCCAGGCUGAUGGUCAGCCAAUUGCAGCACAGAAUGAUCAUGGCUCAGAUGAGCACAUAGGGUGACAUGGGAGCAAGGAAGGGGCGAGGGCAGGGACACGAGGAGGAGGUGACAUCUGAGCUAAACCCUGAGGGAUAAGCAGAAAUUAGUUAGGAA